rnacentral:rRNA from 1 species
UGCAGCCGAGCGGUAGAGAUCUUUUCGGGAUCUUGAGAGCGGCGUACGGGUUGCGGAACACGUGUGCAACCUGCCUUUAUCUGGGGGAUAGCCUUUCGAAAGGAAGAUUAAUACCCCAUAAUAUACUGAAUGGCAUCGUUCGGUAUUGAAAACUCCGGUGGAUAGAGAUGGGCACGCGCAAGAUUAGAUAGUUGGUGAGGUAACGGCUCACCAAGUCUACGAUCUUUAGGGGGCCUGAGAGGGUGAUCCCCCACACUGGUACUGAGACACGGACCAGACUCCUACGGGAGGCAGCAGUGAGGAAUAUUGGACAAUGGGUGAGAGCCUGAUCCAGCCAUCCCGCGUGAAGGACGACGGCCCUAUGGGUUGUAAACUUCUUUUGUAUAGGGAUAAACCUACCCUCGUGAGGGUAGCUGAAGGUACUAUACGAAUAAGCACCGGCUAACUCCGUGCCAGCAGCCGCGGUAAUACGGAGGGUGCAAGCGUUAUCCGGAUUUAUUGGGUUUAAAGGGUCCGUAGGCGGAUCUGUAAGUCAGUGGUGAAAUCUCACAGCUUAACUGUGAAACUGCCAUUGAUACUGCAGGUCUUGAGUGUUGUUGAAGUAGCUGGAAUAAGUAGUGUAGCGGUGAAAUGCAUAGAUAUUACUUAGAACACCAAUUGCGAAGGCAGGUUACUAAGCAACAACUGACGCUGAUGGACGAAAGCGUGGGGAGCGAACAGGAUUAGAUACCCUGGUAGUCCACGCCGUAAACGAUGCUAACUCGUUUUUGGAAUGUAAGUUUCAGAGACUAAGCGAAAGUGAUAAGUUAGCCACCUGGGGAGUACGAACGCAAGUUUGAAACUCAAAGGAAUUGACGGGGGCCCGCACAAGCGGUGGAUUAUGUGGUUUAAUUCGAUGAUACGCGAGGAACCUUACCAAGGCUUAAAUGGGAAAUGACAGGUUUAGAAAUAGACUUUUCUUCGGACAUUUUUCAAGGUGCUGCAUGGUUGUCGUCAGCUCGUGCCGUGAGGUGUUAGGUUAAGCUGCAACGAGCGCAACCCCUGUCACUAGUUGCCAUCAUUAAGUUGGGGACUCUAGUGAGACUGCCUACGCAAGUAGAGAGGAAGGUGGGGAUGACGUCAAAUCAUCACGGCCCUUACGCCUUGGGCCACACACGUAAUACAAUGGCCGGUACAGAGGGCAGCUACACUGCGAAGUGAUGCAAAUCUCGAAAGCCGGUCUCAGUUCGGAUUGGAGUCUGCAACUCGACUCUAUGAAGCUGGAAUCGCUAGUAAUCGCGCAUCAGCCAUGGCGCGGUGAAUACGUUCCCGGGCCUUGUACACACCGCCCGUCAAGCCAUGGAAAGUCUGGGGUACCUGAUAGUCGGUGACCGUAACAGGAAGCU